rnacentral:lncRNA from 1 species
UUGUCAAGUAAAACUCAGAAUGGUACCACCCAGUAGUUAGAUGUGAACUUUCGAGACCUUUGACAUUGUUCUAAGUUAGGUAGUUUCAAACCAAAAUUUAUCUAAUAAAUAUGAACCCACCACAUGCAAUUGGGUAAAAUUGAAGCAUGCUCUGGUACCACAUGAUAAAACUAAGACAUGCACAGUGGAAAAAGAAUCGAAUUUCUACCCUAAUUGCCAUAAUUAACAUGUAACCCUAAAACAAUCAAAUUAGGGUUUUAGGAAAUAUUACCUUUGAAGCUUUCAAAAAACUUCGAUACCUCCUUACCAAUUCAAAUCGAGACCACCACUAGCACUCAACUACUAUCAUCUAGACAAAGAAUCGGAUUGUGGGACCCAAUUUGGUGUAGAAAGUAAUGGAGAUAAAAGGGGAUUGGAAGGUAGAAGUUUUUUUCCUUGGUUGAGAUAUUGGAGAAUGAUAAAAAAAAAGAGGCAAAAGUUUUCAACUAUUUGAAACACCCCUAUUUAUAACAAUGCAUGUAAUUAAUUUGUCAAAUCUCAACACCUAAUGUUCCACUAACAAUUAGUGGAACUUAGUGGGCUAGGUGUCUACAUCUCAUAUAGUCACAUAUCCCACUAAGAGUUAGUGGGAUUAUCCAACAAAAUGUUGGAUUUUCUCACUAACUUAGUCCAAGGGUAAAAUGGUCAUUAGAUAUUUCAAGUCAAAAGUCGAACUUUGACUUUUCUAAGUCAAAAGUCAAUAUUUUGACUUUUUACCAUUUUGUCCGUCUUGACUAAUUCCAACCUCCCGAGCAUGAAUCCGCAUUCAUUUUUUCAAAAUUCAAAUCACAUUUGAAUAUAAGGCCGGUCAAAGUUUGACUUUUCAAAGUCAAAAGUCAACAUUUUGGUUUUUUACCAUUUUUGACCAAUUCCAUCAAUUCUGAGCUUCUUAGUAUGAAUCUGCAUUCAUACUUAUAAUAUGUAAAACAUAAAGCUCUAUUUCUAAUUAGAAGAUCAACGACUAUAUCACUAUAUUUGUCGGUUUCUCUUUCUUCUCCCAAUUUGAACAAUUUGACUUAUUUCAUCACAUUGUUCUAAGUUUAAUCCAUAUGAGCUAGCAGAGGAACCUAAUGGACCUAUAGAUCAUGGGCUCCAACGAUUCAAGAUUAACUAGCUAAACUCUUUUAAACCGAGUUAAUCAACAUUCGUUAACUAACGAGUCAUUUCACUAAAGUCCCGUAGUUGCACUCCCCUCACUAUAGAUAUAUUUGUGUCCAUUUGAUAAAACCAUAAUCAGUAAGUUAAUCCUUCACAGGUUGCUCGUAACCUUGGCUGGGUCAAAAUACCGUUUUACCCCCAAGAUUACAUCUUGCUCCUUAAGUCCCACUAAUCCACUAUUGAACAAUUGGUUUAAGGUUCAACCUAUAAACUUAAUCCCUCUCGGGCCAAUGAGAGGGUGGGGCCCCUUGUUCAAGACUUGGAUUCAGUGCUUAAGAGAAGCAACCUAUCUACUAACCCUAAAGCGGGUAGGAGUGAAUUCCAUCUUGUACCCUAUGUUCCCAGCUAUCCACCCGAUCUUACCCCUGAAAUGGGAGGCUUAUUGGGCCAACGCUGAUGAGCUGCCCUCACCUAUGCAGAUCUAAGGAUAAUCUCGUGUGAACAGGAGUUCAUAGUUAACUCAGGAUUAAGAUUAAGUUACCUAGGUCAUCAAUAAUCGAGAUAGUCAAUUUUAAACAGUAAACGAUGUUAUAACGUAAAAAAGACUAAUUCAUGGUUCAGUCUUAUGUAUACACUUUACAUAGGAUGCCCCCACUUUCAUGUCUCUACAUGAACGAUUCAGGAUCACCUCGUUUGUACUACAAAGUGGGCCGCAUCCAUAGUCUCUCUAAAUAAGGCGUCCAACCUUUAUUCAUAUAUUAUAGACUAUUUAGGUUAUAUACUCGAACUUGAUCCACGUUUAUGUUUACACAUAAAGUUCAAGUUUAUUCAAAAAUAGCCUUGGAACUUGAUUUAUUGGAUUUAAGAUUAUAAUAUUUAAUUUUCCAAUAACAACUUUAUUGAACAUAAUAUAAUUACAAACUACGAGUUUUAGGACAAAAAAUUCCAACACUUUGACCCUCUUUUCAAUGUUUUGGAACUGAACUAAAAAACUAAGUCUAGUGCAUCACCGUUCGACUUUUGUGGGUAAGAAAAUUCAAUAUUACUCAGAGUGAGACCACCAAGUAGUUAGAUGCAAACUUUUGAAACCUUCAACAUUGUUCUAAGUUGGGUAGUUUCUUUCUAGGCCAUAUCAUUGACCCUAUUUUCAACGUUUUUGGAUAGAACUAAAAAACUGAGUCUAGCGCAUCACAAUUUGGCUUUUAUGAGCAAGAAACUUUAAUAUUACUCAAAAUGAGACCACCCAAUAGUUAGAUGUGAACUUUCGAGACCUUUGACAUUGUUCUAAGUUUGGUAGUUUCUUUCUAGAUCGUAGCAUUGAUCCUUUUUUUUAACGUUUUGGUACGAAACUAAAAAUCUAAGUAUGGGGCAUCACUAUUCGGCUUUUGUGGGAAAAAAACUUUAAUAUCACUCAAAUUGAGACCACCCAGUAGUUAUAUUGGAACUUUUGAGACCUUUGGCAUUGUUCUAAGUUGGAUAGUUUCUUUCUAAGCCACAUGAUUGGCCUAUUUUUCAACUUUUUGGGACGGAACUAAAAAACUAAGUCUGGGGCAUCACUGUUUGACUUUUGUGGGGAAGAAACUUUAAUAUUACUCAAAAUGAGACCAUCCAGUAGUUAGAUAUGAACUUUUGAGACCUUUGACAUUGUUAUAAGUUGGAUAGUUUUUUUCUAAGCCAUAGUUGUCCCUUUUUUCAAUGUUUUGGGACGAAAAUAAAAAACUGAGUCUCAUCACCAUUCGACUUUUGUGGGCAAGAAACUUUAAUAUUACUCAAAAUGAGACCACCUAGUAGUUAGAUGUGAACUUUCAAGACCUUUGACAUUAUUCUAAGUUGGGUAGUUUAUUUCAAGGCCAUAGCGUUGAUCCUUUUUUCAACGUUUUGAGACGGAUUUAAAAACUGAGCUUGGAGCAUCGUUCGACUUUUAUGGGAAAAAAACUUUAAUAUUACUCAGAAUGAGACCACCCAGUAGUUAGAUGUGAACUUUUGAGACCUUUGACAUUAUUCUAAGUUGGGUAGUUUCUUUCUAGAACAUAGCAUUGGCCUUUUAUUCAACAUUUUGGGAUUGAACUAAAAAACUGAGUCUAGGGUAUCACUCGACUUUUAUGGACAAGAAACUUUAAUAUUACUUAGAAUGAGACCAUCCAGUAGUUAGAUGUGAACUUUCGAGUUCUUUGACAUUGUUUUAUGUUGGGUAGUUUCUUUCUAGGCCAUAGCAUUGACCCCUUUUUUCAACGUUUUGGGACGGAACUAAAAAACUGAGUCUGAGGCAUCAUCGUUUUGCUUUUGUGGGCAAGAUUGAAUAAGCUGAAACAUAACAUUGGGCUCACAAGCAUGACCACCAUGGAGAAGAUGAUUACGCUCCUUCCAGAUAAAAUAAAUCGUAGCACACCAAAGAACACACCACAACUUUCUCCUCACACCCUUACCAAUACCCUGAUAACCAAUCCAAGACAACUCAACUCCCCAACAACCCAAACCCACCUAUCACCAAUGCUAGGACACAGACUUACAACAUGAACCAUAUCCCAUAAAUUAAUCAAAUCCAAAGACACCUUCGACCAUCUCCAUUUCCCUUCCAAAUCAAUAAACUCAGAGAGCCUAACCUCCUGCCUACUCGUUGCAUCGUAAAGCACUCUCUCACCAACCUACUGAAGGAUAGGACCACCCUGCAACCAAGGAUCCAGUCACACUCUGCAACACCUACCAUCCUCCACCUCCAUCGAAUUAAUAGGUUGCAUAUGUGAGGUGGAAUGUUAUAGGUUAGUCUAAUGCAUUAUAAGCGUUAUAAAAUCAAGUAGACUUUUAAAAUCUAUAACAAAGUCAACUUGCAUGCUUACUUAGGUUAAACAUAUCAACCAAAUCGUUCAUAGAAUUAGGUUGAUAUCUUGUAAAAAUGUUUAUAAGAGGUUCUCACCUAAUUCAAGCUUGUCAAUAAGUCAGAUAAGAUGACUAAGGUUGGAGGUUCUUAAGUUGACAGUUUACGGAACAUCUGCUACAUGAAGAUCAUAAUCAGUUAUUGAGCCUAGUUAACCUAGUUCUAUGAACAUGAGUGAGGGAUGUGAGGUAAUGAAAUUGACUUAUCACCUAGACUCGUAGGUUAAAAUCUAGUAUAAUGGUUAUGUUGGAUGUUUCACCUAAAUUUAGGAUAUGUUUAAGUUAGCAUAAAUAAGAUCCUAUUUUUCUCACCUUUUAAAAAACAUCAUAGGACAUUUUAGCUUGAGAAAAGUAACAUAUUUUUAGCUCUAAUGUCCCUAAGAUUCAUGUCGUGAAGUUCAUGCAUGGCUUUCAGUUGUGCAUAGGAGUGGACUCCCUUCGAAGAGUGUUUGCAUGGAUCAAUAUCAAGGUGAAUAGGAGAAGUAGUUCAUAGUAAGUGGGUUAGGGAUAUGUGACAACACAUCCCAUGGUCUCUUCCAUCAGGUUGCACCGUGAUAUUCCUAUAAUGCGCCUACUUGUCUGCCCUAGAGCAACGUUUCCUUUGGAGGGUUGUAUUAUAGGAUUCAAAACACCGCAAUAUCCAAAUUUGGAUAGGGUCUCUUAGAUCAGUUUUUAUAUUGUCUUUCCACUUUCAGGAGCAUAAUGUUUCUUAUCUCUAAGAUUUGAAAAUGGAGGGUUACAGUUACAAGAAUUACUAAGUUGUUAGUAUAUUCUUGACCGAAGAAGCGAUAAUUAAGUGCUAUAGGAAUAUGAGAUAUUCAGGACUUAGCAUUUGGUCAAGAUUGUCUUGGUUCAAAGAAGGAGUAAUCGACUACCCCUCGAUAGAGGUUAUUCUAAACAUUUGAAAUAUUGUUGCAAAACACAAUAAUGAUAGGUAUAUUAUUAAUAUUUGCUAAAUUAAUCGGUUCUUAUAGAAAUAUAAUUUUUCACUAAAUAGAGUAUUUUUUUUAGCAUGAAUAGCUCAAUAGUACACUCUUAGCUUAUGAGAAACUUAACGAUGAUAAUUGCGACAAGGAAAUCAAACUUAAAUACAAUACUGGUUGUAGAUGAUUUAAAGUUUGUCUUAACUGAGGAACGUCCUCUAGCCCCUGCCUCAAAUGCUAAUCAAAAUGUUUGGAAAGCAUAUGAUCGAUGGGUAAAGGCCAAUCAAAAGGCUCGUGUCUAUAUUCUUGCCAACAUGUCUGAUGUUUUGGAAAAGUAACAUGAAUCCUUAACCACAGAUAAAGAGAUUAUGGAUUCAUCGAAGGAGAUGUUUAGUUAGCCUUAAUGGUCCCUCAGACACGAAGCAGUUAAACAUAUUUACACCAAGUGAAUGAAGGAAGGGACAUCUUAAUAAGGCAAUCCUAAUCCUCAAUCCAAAUAUCCAAGCUAUUAACGUAGCAAGAACCUUUAAAAUAAGAAACUAACACCUCCUUAUACUAAUUUAGAUCAACCAAGAGAAAAUUAGGACUCGAUUACCUCUUAGAUCAAAGAUCUAGAAGCAAGAUUUGGAAAUCUUGUUCUAAAUUGAGUCACUCCACAAUCAAACUUGAUCAAGGUUAUAUUGAAAGGCUCGCAUGCAUUCUAUCACAAGAACUGCAAAUUAAGGGAAAAAAUCUCUACAUGAGAUUUCAAAAUAGCAU